CGCGUGUACUGGUCCGGCCGGGCCUUUCCUUCUGGAGAGCCCCAUGCCCUUCACUGGGCGUGCGGGGGAACCAGGACUUUUACUUUGAAAAAAUUAGAGUGUUCAAAGCAGGCCUUUGCUCGAAUACGUUAGCAUGGAAUAAUAGAAUAGGACGUGCGGUCCUAUUUUGUUGGUUUCUAGGACCGCCGUAAUGAUUAAUAGGGAUAGUCGGGGGCAUCAGUAUUCAAUUGUCAGAGGUGAAAUUCUUGGAUUUAUUGAAGACUAACUACUGCGAAAGCAUUUGCCAAGGAUGUUUUCAUUAAUCAGUGAACGAAAGUUAGGGGAUCGAAGACGAUCAGAUACCGUCGUAGUCUUAACCGUAAACUAUGCCGACUAGGGAUCGGGCGAUGUUUCUAUCUUGACUCGCUCGGCACCUUACGAGAAAUCAAAGUUUUUGGGUUCUGGGGGGAGUAUGGUCGCAAGGCUGAAACUUAAAGAAAUUGACGGAAGGGCACCACCAGGAGUGGAGCCUGCGGCUUAAUUUGACUCAACACGGGAAAUCUCACCAGGCCCGGACACCGGAAGGAUUGACAGAUUGAGAGCUCUUUCUUGAUUCGGUGGGUGGUGGUGCAUGGCCGUUCUUAGUUGGUGGAGCGAUUUGUCUGGUUAAUUCCGAUAACGAACGAGACUCUGGCCUACUAACUAGACAUGUGAUCCUUUAUGGGUCUGAUGUAGCUUCUUAGAGGGACGGGCGG
rnacentral:rRNA from 1 species